GGCUUAUCCUGUGAGGUCCUGACCUGAGCUAAUGUAACUCUUAUCCACUGCCAAAAGAAAUACAGCCAUUGACUUGAGUAGGAGCAAGACCAGUUGGCAGGCUACCUCGUUAUUAAAUUCUUCCCUCAUUAUCUGCAAGAAGCGCUGUGAAAAGACUAGAAAACUAAGGCGCUGGUAACUGCUUUCAUCAGGAGGUACUAUGGGCACUUUGAGAGCUGAGCCACAUGCCAGAACUCGGGCUGCCGGGCGGCUCUCACUAGCAGCAGUAACAACAAAAUCAGCAAAUACUUGGAAGCGCUUCUUAGCUCGUGCUGAGCAGCCCACAUCGCUGCUGGGCUGUAGCUGGGACUAUGGGCCAGAUGCAGAUAAUUUUUUUUGGAAGGUGGAACCCAACACAGAACAUUUCCACCCUGGAGCCCUAGACACGUUCGUGGGAAACACCUGGCUGCGACCAACGCACGACGCCGCAAGCCCGCCCUUUGCCUGCGGAGUGCAGGUGCGCCCCUGGCAAGCGGCAGCAGGGUCUCGCGGCCGGCCGGGCGGGUAGGAGCUUAUUAGAGACACUGAAUCAUGUUGGGAAUGACUGAUCAUCAUUCUGCUCCCUGCUGUGAUGCAAAUGCAUGGAAAUAUCUGAAAACUGGAACUUCUUCAGGAACUCCUGGAUAAAGUAGGAAGUAGCUAUAAGAAUAAUGCACUGAAUAAAGCAGUGGGUAAGGAUUGCUUCCUAGUCUGUCAGCACUUACAGCUAGCAGAUGAAGAAAGGCAAAAGUCAGCUUUCCUGGUCCUGCUUGCAGCCUGGGGACUCUGUAGCGAAGUGUGCAAUCCGAGUCGGCCUGCAGCCAGCCAGUUUAAAAGCAGGUAAAUUGUGCCUCUCUGUUUUAGGGAGCAACCUGCCUUGUCUCUGCCUGUUUGGGGUUCUUGCAUGUUAUCGUUCUGAAUUCUAAGAAAUAAAGUAGUGUAACACUGCAGCCUUCCAGCAAGAGUAUUUUAUGUUUUUAUCUAACAUAUGUUUGUAUGCUGUGAACAUACCAGUAAUGAUAUACAGUUCUUAAAGCUCCAUACACCCUAAAUGGUAAAAGGGGUUUUGCAGGCCCAGUUAGCCCCUCAUUGCACACCCAUGCUAUUCCAUCACCUUCAGUGGUGUUGCAAAUGUGUAGCUAAUUGGAAUUUAGUAAACAGUGCUGCUGAUGUACAGGAAGGAACAGAAUCCAGCUCUCACAUCCUCUUAACUGUUUGCCUCUGCAAGGCUAACAAGAGGAAAGAAUAGUAAAACUUAUUUUGUCACUACAGUAAAAGGAUCUGACUCUGAAUAGACACAGGGAGAGAUGUUGGUUAAGAAGUUGCUUUUAAAAUAAAAACACUUGGCUUGUGUAGUGGAACUGCACUUUAACUGCUGCAUCAUUCUGUCACUGCUUUUAACUUUUCAUUAUUUAAAAUUGUUACUGAGUACUUUUGGAUUAUUGUUUUUCUA